AAAGUUUUAAGUUAAAUAAAACUAUUAACCUUCAAAGUUAAAAAUAUAAUACUAAUUAUAAGCUUUA
rnacentral:tRNA from 1 species